rnacentral:lncRNA from 1 species
GUUUGGUGUCGUUCUAAACAUCUUUUUGAGGGCUUCCACUCGGCCUACCCAUGGACAAAGAUUGGGGUUGACAUGGCUUUGGCUCAACCUGCAUGUCGGUAGGAGAUGAGUCGAAGUUGUCAAUACCUUCGCUCGACCUACCCAUCGAUAGGGAGUAGAGUUGACAUGGCUCCCGCUCAACCUAUGUGCUAGUAGGGAACAGGUCGAGAUUGUCGAUGCCUCCGCUCGACCUACCCAUUGGCAGGGAGCAGAGUUGAUGUGGCUCCUGCUCAAUUUGCACACUAGCAGGGAGUGGGCCCAGGUUGUUAAUGCCUCUGCUCGACCUGCUCGUCAGUAGGAAACGGAGUUGAUGUGGCUCUCGCUCAACCUGCAUUCUAGCAAAGAGCGAGCCAAGGUUAUCGAUACCUCAAC